UGUAAGCGUAUACCAAAGUUGUUGCAGUUAAAACGCUCGUAGUCGGAAUUUGGCAGUUCCGGAUGUGUGCACGUCGUGUGCGCACUUCGCGGGGAUUGCUUUUGUGGUCUUGCGUAGGAUGAGGCACUUUUAUUAGUGAACGUCCUCACGCAACCACUUUUUACUGUGAGAAAAUCAGAGUGCUCAAAGCAGGCAUUUGCCGUGAAUGUAUUAGCAUGGAAUAAUAGAAUAGGACUUGGUUCUAUUUUGUUGGUUUGUUGGGACUGAGUAACGAUUAAGAGGGACAGUUGGGGGCAUUUGUAUUUCGGUGCUGGAGGUGAGAUUCUUAGAUUACCGAAAGACAAACUGCUGCGAAAGCGUCUGCCAAGGAUGUUUUCAUUGA
rnacentral:rRNA from 1 species